CUCUCUCUGUGGUGUAGUUCUUCCUCUGGCUCUCUUCUCCUGCCCCAAACAUCUCACACCGCCGCCGCCGCCGCCGCCGCCGAGGGUUAGGGUUUGUGGCCGGAGAUCCCUCGGAUUCGAUUCCAUUCGAGUCGAAUCGAAGAGAAGAGAAUCGAUAGAGAUGGACGCGCAGCGUGCCCUGCUUGACGCGCUGAUGGGUUCGUCGCGGGACCUGACGGAGGAGGAGAAGAAGGAGCACCGGGAGGUGGCGUGGGACGACCCCGACGUGUGCGCCCCCUACAUGGCCCGCUUCUGCCCCCACGACCUCUUCAUCAACACCAAGAGCAACCUCGGAGUAUGCCCAAAGAUCCACGACCCGGCGCUCAAGCAAAGCUUCGAGUCCUCCCCCCGCUACGCCGCCGCCCUCCCCAAAUUCGAGGCCGACCUCGCCCACCGCUGCGAGAGGCUGGUCCAGGACCUUGAUAAGAAGAUCAGGCGCGGCCGCGACAGGCUGGCCCAGGACGUCGUGGAGGUGCCGCCCCCCGCCGCCCACGCCGAAAAGGUCGAGCAGCUCGCCAUUCUCGAAGAGAAGAUCAAGAAGCUGCUCGAGCAGAUUGAGCAGCUCGGUGACACCGGCAAGAUCGACGAGGCCACCGCGCUCAUGAGGAAGGUGGACAUUCUCAACCUCGAGAAGUCGGCUCUGACCCACCAGAUUGAGACCAAGCUCUCCAUGGUCCCGCAAGAGAAGAAGAUGGAGCUCUGCGAGCAGUGCGGCUCCUUUCUCGUCACCAACGAUGUCCUUGAGAGGACGCAGUCCCAUGUCACUGGCAAGCAGCACAUUGGUUAUGGUCUGGUCAGGGAAUUCCUCGCCGAAUAUAAGGCUGCGAAAGAAGCGGAGAAGCUUGCAAGGGAGAAGGAAGCAGAGGAGCGUCUGAACCGGGAGAGAGGCCACCAUAACAGAGGCCACCGCGACGACUAUAGGGAGAGGUCCAGGGAGCAUGACCGUGACCGCUACUAUGAGCGAAGCCGUGACAGAGAGAGGCCCUAUGAGCACGGAGGUAGAGGGUCAGACUAUAGAGGCGGUUCCUAUAACAGCCGCAGGGAUUCUGAAAGGGCGAGGCCCAGAGAUAGGAACGGUGGUGAUUUUUCAAGAAGAGGAGACCCGGGGAGGGUGAGGAGCAGGUCCCGAUCUCCGGGGAGGCAUGGUUAUUAAUCAUUUCAAGUUAUGAGACUCGUGAGGUAGACCAUUAUGCUCCUUUGCUUAUUCAUUCAGUCGCAAUGUCUGAGUGCUGUCAUGAUUAAAUUUAAACCUUACUCUGCUCUAGCAGCUUUUUGUUGAAACCAUACCCCUAUGGUCUUCCUUUUAUUAUAGAGAGGAUAAAAAACAGAGGAAGGAUUGGAUCGUCAACUUGGGACUUGUUGGUACAUCAACCUGAAGAAUUCCAGCGAGUGUUGUUGGCCGGUGCAUGCCACAGAGAUCAAUGCCAGAUUUCAAUUACAGAAUCACCCUUUUGGGCGUUGAGAAUUCAAACGGUUCAGACUUGAAUUUGAGCUUUGAGCGGACUUAAACGUUUUCAAGUUGUAUUUUCUCGCAAAUGCAGGCACAUGUACCAAGUGACGUGUGAUGUGAUGAUGUAAGAAUUUGAGCUUUGAGCGGACUUAAACGUUUUCAAGUAUGUUUAAGUUGUAUUUUCUCGCAAACGCAGGCACAUGUACCAAGUGACGUGUGAUGUAAAAACAAGCUUGAAACAUUAGUGGUAUUUGUUUGCUGGC